AUGGGCGCAGCCUGAUGGAGCACACCGCGUGAGUGAAGAAGGGUUUCGGCUCGUAAAGCUCUGUUGUUAAAGAAGAACACGUAUGAGAGUAACUGUUCAUACGUUGACGGUAUUUAACCAGAAAGUCACGGCUAACUACGUGCCAGCAGCCGCGUAUUG
rnacentral:rRNA from 1 species